CGCGGCGUUAACUCGAUUGCGAGCGGAUAAGCGCGAGGGCCGAGGAAUAUCCGCCCCGCAGCCGAGAAUAUUCCGGUUCCUAUAAAUCUGCCGUUACUGCAGUUGGCUCCUCCGUUCUACUCUCUACUCCACUCUCUCCAGCCCUGGCAGCCCGCAGCUUCCGCGAAGCUUCCUCCUCCCCCGAUGAGAUCAUCUCCGCCGCCGGCUGGCUAUAUAUAUAAGAGGAGGAGUCUCGCCGACGACGACGACGGCCACGCGAGUAAAAAAAAAAUACGGCUUGGCUUGCCGUUAAAUCUGGUCUCCACAGGUGGGGGUCCUAGCGAGGUCACCGUCGGCCGUGUCAUGCAUGGCUGGAGGGUGAAGUCCGAAGACAUCCAUCCGGCUACGACGACGGCGGCGGGGGCAGCAAGGUGAGCGAGUAGAGGGUGGAGGAAGGUGUGUUUGGGGGUAGCAGGGGUGGUGACCGGUGAGGCCGGCGGUGAGAGGCGAUCUCCCUGGUCGCCGCAAGCUGUGAUGCUCGCGGGCCGCGGGGGGAGGCGGGCCCUGCCGACGUGCGUGGUGGAGACUGGAGAGGAAGCAGUCUGAGCCUGUGAAGGAACAGAGCAUCCCGGAAGGCUAAAGGAAUUUGGAAGGGGAGGGCCCUGUCCUGAUUUCGGUUUCACUUGGUCCGACAAUGCUUCAACAAAACAGGUACAUGUUUUCUGUAGAAAAAAGGGCACGUUUUGGACCAGCUUAACCAUCAAGGAUUUGCCACCACGGCCCUACUCUACCAUCGCCGUUGCUGCCUGACUUUGUCGUUGCUCCAAUAAAAUCCAAAACGUGCUGAUUUUUCGAAAAGAUAACAUGAACCUAGAGACAAAGAAUGGACAAAAAUCCAAUUGAAAGCUUCAUACGAAGGGAAAACGUAAGAAAGUUUUGUGACCUGAGCCGUGUGUACAGGGCUCUAUCUCAAAACUCUUUUAUGUUUCUCCUUGGUAAGAAUUUUUCCAUUGGUUUAUUUGUCCUUCAGGGCCAUGAGUAACUGAAGUCAGGAUAGGGUUCUCCCUUUUCGAAUUCUUGUCACGGAAUGGCAACAUCGUCCACCAAAUAAAUAAAGGUGUCUGUUUAUUACAUUUGUGCUUAUGCUCGAGUGUGGAAACUGAAGCUACCGACCUGUUGAACUGGGUCAAGUUUCAAGUCUUUAUCUAUGUGAUAUGUAUGUAAAACUGUUCCUCGUGCUACCUUUUUCCAGGCCGUGUUGUGUCAAUUAAAAUGGUGAAGGCUGUGUCAUGUGAUACUUAUAAUUUUUUUGUCCUUGACCAUGCUGAUUGGUUUCGCUAUGGACAUCGAUAUCCAGUCUGGUCCGUGGUGGCUAUCCUUUGAGAUUUGAAUGGUCUGAUUAGUCAGAGAUUCCGAGAUCUGAUUAUGUUAUGUGGCAGCAUAAGUUCAUUCAUUCACUAUCACAGACAUGUCAUUUAGUGCUGGUUUCAAAAGCCUUUCAGUGUCAGGUUUCCGACCGGCUGUGAUUGAUCGGCACUGAAAGUCACCUCAAAUCACUGUCGGUUGUACAACCGGUAUUGAAAGUAGUUUUCAGAGAGAAAAAAAAAGAGUAAACUUGAGCUGGCUCGUCUGCCGCCGCCGCCGCGCCCGCAAUGACUGCACCGUCUGCUCCUCCUUCAACCUCCUCCUAUGCUCCAGUCGCCGCUUGAUGCGGUGCUCCCGCCGUCGCCAUCGCCACGUGCAUACUCAAAUCGACUCAUCUUAUCCAUACGAACACAAGCACAAAUCGACUUAUCUCAUUCAUACGAACACAAGCACAAAUUGACUUAUUUUAUUCAUACAAACACAUGCACAAAUCAACUCAUCUCAUCUCAAACACAAGAAUAUAAUCAAAACAAAGUGAAGUAGGCAUCCGACCCGGAGCAGCCAUCGGUCCCCGACCGGCCUUAGAAGCCCUUCAGCCCAUGCGUUGUGGUAUGGCGCGACUCCUCGCAGCUGCUCUUCGGCUCUCCCCACUGGUGCGCUCCAGCUCUGUUCGCGGCGUGAAGGCGACUCCCUUCAGCACCCCUCCACCGGCCACCUGGUUCGUGGGUCAUCGUGCAUGCAGCGUAGCAGCUUGCUCACUGCGACGUAUGUAUGGUGGUCAUGAACACGAACUCACGAUUCAAAAACGGACUAGCGAAUUGACUUGGUGCUUACCUCGCUGCGUGAAGAGAGAGGAAUGAAGAGAACGAGUGAGGUCUAGUCAUCUGGACGGGCUUGAGCUUUUAACGGGAUCCAUGGAGGCAGUGACGGAAGAGAGAGAGAGAGAGAGGGAGAGAUCAAGAGAGGUUGGAUGAACGAAGAGAUAAAAGUGAGGUCUGAACGGGUGUGGUCGAGUGGCUAUCCAUCAUGAGGAUAAUGAGUGGAUUCUGUGAGUCAGACGUAAACAAAAUGAGCCAAAACAGGACUGUAUAAAACUCUCAGGUCUGAAGCAAGUUUCAGUGUCGGUUCUUAUUAACAACCGGCACUGAUACUAUCAGUGUCAGUUUGUAUUAAAGUAUCAGUGCUGGUUCAACCCAGUUCAAUCGAUGAUCGAGCGCGGGAUGUUACACAUCGGCACUGAUACUUCAUUAGUGUUGGUUCUAGUUUAACUGGCACUGAUGAGCCGACACGGAUGACUAGUUCUGUUGUAGUGCUUCUUGUUUCUUAGGCAAGAACUAACUAUUUCUGAUUGCAACUGUUGUGUGCUCUUUUUUUAUCACACUUCCUAAUCUUUAGGAGUUCGAAAUCGGGCACUCGAGUUCAUGUGACCAUGUGAACAUCAACGAGUUUAGGGGAGAGGUUACGGUCAGGGGUUUUAGGGUUCAUCAGUGAUUCUAGGGGUUAUAGUGAGGCGGUGAGUUGCGGCGUGGCGGUACGAUGCGGUGAGGCAGCGGUGGAACCGCUGGAUCCAUGAGUGGUGGGUGGGAUUGGCAGCAGGGGAGCUCAAAAUUAGAUUGGUGAGCUCGAAAUUAGAUUGGUUAGCGAGGAAGGAGCGGUGGCGGUGGAUCCAACGGUGGAGAAGCCACCAGAGAGGGCAAGAGGAGAGGCUAGAACUACAGAACCCCAUAUAAUAGUCGCCACCUUCAAUGCCGGUUCAAAGGAACCAGUACUGAAAGAGGUAUCAGUGCCGGUUCUAAUAACAAACCGGCACUAAUAGUGGUAUUUCAGUGCCGGUUUCUCUUUAAACCGGCACUGAAAGACUGCUACAGUAUAUAUAGCCCAUCUUCUUCCCCGUCUCGACCCAGAACAGAGCCGCCGCUGCCGCAACCCAGUGUUACAGUGCCUCCUUGCCAUUUUUUUGGGCGAUUCAAGGUUUUUUUUUUGCGUGGGAGCCUUCAAAAUUUGGAGGAGUCAACUGUUUUAAAGUUAGUGAGAUCUAUAUUUCAUUUUUGGAUAGAUUACUUGGUAAAUUGCUCUAGGGUUGAUGAUGGAUGGUGUUUGUUCCAUGGUUAUGGAUUUAGAGAUGUAGUUGAAAUCUAAUUUAGGUAAAGUUUGCAACUUUGUCAUUGUUAGAUGUAUAGAGAUGAUCUAAAUUUGAUUCUUAGUUGGAUUUUAGUUGUUAGAUUUCUCUAGGUUUGAAUUUCGGUGGUUGUUAGUUAGUGUUGAAAUUUGAAAUGAGCAAGAGCUCAAAUAUCCAUAUAAAUUAGAGAAAGGUCGCAAUCUUAUCAUUCUAGAUGAUUUAACGAGUUGCAACUUUGCAAUUUGUUGAACCAUUAUUGCCAUUCAAAAAUUACAAAAAUAUCGCUAGAACUGUCAUUCGAGUGGCAUCAAAAGAAUAAAAAAUCAGGGAGGUAUUUGUAAAAUAUCUCUAAAAUCUAGCUCUAAUUUUCUGGUAUGUGGAUUGCGUAUAUUUUUAAAGUCAUGAAUUUUAAUAAUAAUCUAAUGAAUUUCCUCUGUUAAUUAAUCAGCAUACUGAAUUUAACAUGUACAGUCCAUAAAAUACUAUGUUGUAGGGAUGGCACAUCCACCCACGGGUCGCAAUCAGACUCGGCAGCCUUUGGAAGGCGGGUCCCCCGACCCGGCCCAAGUACCGGAAGGAGAUGGGUCCUCAAAUAGGGACCAAUCAGGAUGCGAGAUAGACCGGUCAUGGAUGUACAAGGAACGAGGGCCAUAGUUCAUUGUUGGCAUCGAGGCUUUUUUAGGCUGCCGCGGCGUACAAGAAGCCAAAAGGGAAGCAUGACGAGCACUAUAUAUGCUGUCCGUGUGUCGACUGCAAGAAUGAGAAGCAGUUUUCAAACAUAGAGCAGAUCCGUGCACACUUGAUUCGCAGGGGUUUUAAGGCUGGCUACACCCUUUGGACUGAGCACGGUGAACUUGCAGAUGUUGGGCGUGAAGGGCAACCAACAGUCGAAAGUGACGGAGUCAACGAUCCGAUGGCUAACGAAGACUUUGAUAUGUUGACAUUUGAAGAUACUUUUGUCGAGAACGAUGAUCGGGACAGUUUUGUUGGCAACAAUGAAGAAGGCAUAGAACAAAUGUUGCGCGAUGGGGAGGGGGACUUCACCAUUGAAAGACAACAUCAAAAGUACCAGCGCAUGAUAGAGGACUCUAAAACACCAGUUUACCCGAACUGUAAAGAUGAGCAUAGCAAGUUGCAUGUGGUGCUGACACUGAUGUAAAUGAAGGCUAGCAAUGGUUGGGCCGAUAAGGGUUUCAAUGAAUUGUUAGAAUUCUUGAGGGAAUUACUUCCAUAGGGUAACGCGUUGCCCGAAAACACGUACCAUGCCAAGCAGGUUGUUUGCCCGUUGGGAUUGGAAGUAGAGAAAAUACAUGCAUGUGGAAACGACUGCAUGUUGUUCCGCGGUGAGGAUGCAGACUUGGAAGCGUGUCGCGUUUGCAAUGCACUGCGGUACAAGAGCAGCGUUGAUGAUAUUGAGAGCGAUGGCGUAGGGGUGAAGAGAAAGGAGAAAAGACCCCCAUUAAGGUGGCUUGGUAUUUCCCUAUAGUCCCCCGUUUGAAGCGAUUGUUUGCUAACAGAGCGAAUGCCGAGUUAAUGCGAUGGCACGCCGAACAGCGCAAGAAAGAUGGAAUGCUUAGACACCUUGCUGAUGGCAUGCAAUGGAGGAGAUUCGAUUCGAAAUACAAGGAAUUCAGAGAUGAAGUGAGGAAUAUAAGGUUCGGGUUGAGCACGGAUGGGAUGAAUCCUUUCGGCAACACGAGAAGUACUCAUAGCACUUAGCCUGUGACUCUCUCUAUCUACAACAUUUCACCUUGGAUGUGCAUGAAGCGAAAGUACCUUAUGAUGCCUCUACUGAUUAGUGGGCUGAAUCAACCAGGCAACGAUAUCGAUGUGUACCUCAAACCAUUGGUGGAAGAUCUUCUUGUACUGUGGAAAGAUGGCGUACGAGUAUGGGAUGAGUACAGACGCGAGAAUUUCACCCUACGCGCGAUGCUGUUCGUGACGAUUUUAGAUUGGCAUGCUCUUGGUAACCUAUCAGGGCAGACUGUAAAAGGGUACAAUGGAUGUGUUCAGUGCUUGGAGGAAACGGAGGGGCGGUGGCUAAAAAACAGCCAGAAAAUGAUCUUCAUGGGUCACCGUAGGUUCCUCCGUCCGGAUCACCCAUACCGCAAGAAUAAAAGAGCUUUUGACGGGACAAUGGAGCUUUCGUCAAGCUCCGAAGAUUCGCAAUGGAGAACAGGUAUUUAAGAUGGUUAAUACACUCAGAGUUGUACUUGGAAAGGGGCUAGGCAGUACAAAAAUGCAGGCUGGGCAAAAUGCUCCUAUGUGGAAAAAGAUGUCAAUAUUUUGGUUGCUACCUUUUUGGAAGUAUCUUAUGGUCCGACACGCAAUCGACGUCAUGCACGUGGAGAAGAAUGUGUUUGAUAGCUUGAUUAGUACCUUACUAGACAUACCAGGCAAAACAAAAGAUACACUAAAUGCACGGCUGGACCUGGAAGAAAUGAACCUCAGGAAGGAUCUACACUACAUACAAUUAGACAACGGCAAAAAGAAACUUCCCGCAGCUUGCUACACUAUGAGCAAGGAAGAGAUGAUCCGCCUGUGUGGUUGCUUGCGUGAUGUCAAAGUUUCGACCGGUUACUCCUCCAAUAUCAGGAACUUUGUAAACAUGAAAGAUACGAAGUUAGUUGGCAUGAAGUCUCAUGAUUGUCACGUGAUGAUGACGCAGAUGCUUCCAGUUGCAAUUCGAGGUAUUCUGCCAGAUAAGGUCCGAGACCCAAUCAUUAAGCUGUGUUCGUUCUUUAACGCAAUUUCACAGAAGGUCAUUGAUCCGAACAAACUGGCAAAGCUGCAGGAAGACGUGGUCCAUACUAUAUGUCAGUUUGAGACUAUUUUCCCUUCGACAUUUUUUGAUAUGAUGCCCUAUCUAAUUGUUCACAUUGUGGGUGAGAUAAAGAGCAUUGGCCCCGUGUUUCUGCAUCAGAUGUAUCCUUUCGAAAGGUUCAUGGGGGUUCUGAAGAAAUAUGUUCGUAACCGAGGUCGUCCGGAAAGUUGCAUUGCCCAAGGGUGGAGUACGGAGGAGGUUAUUGAGUUUUGCAUUGACUAUAUGAAACUGGACGCGAUUGGUAAGCCUAUAUCUCGCGAUGAGGGGAGGCUAAAGGGGAAAGGGACGAUAGGUCAUACUUCAAUCCAUAUCAAAGAUCGUGCUUCAUUCACUCAAGCACACUUCGCAAUUCUGCAACAGGUAGUUGUAGUGAUCUCGUAUGUCAAAAUGCAUGUGAGCAUGCUACGCUCCACAAAUCCAACGAAGUCAGAUGAUUGGAUCGCAAAAGAGCACAGAGAUAAUUUCGGUAAUUGGUUACGUCAACACAUGAUGGGUAAGGAUACCGACGAUGCUCUGUUGGAACUGCUGGCAAAUGGCCCGUCAACUACGAUUCGCACAUUCCAAGCAUACGAGAUUAACGGCUAUACAUUUUAUACGCGAGCACAAGACAACAAGAGCACUAACCAAAAUAGUGGUGUCCGUACUGAUGCCUGUGACCGCGCUGGCAACAGGGAGACCUACUAUGGAUUCAUAGAGGAAAUUUGGGAACUUGAAUAUGACGAGUUGAUGGUCCCUCUGUUUCGGUGCCAAUGGGUCAGACUCACAGGGGGAGUCAAGGUCACAAGUACGGUAUGACUAUCGUGGACCUCAAGGAGGAGCGUCACGUGGUUCUUCAAGGAAAAAGAAAAAUCGUCGGUGUUGAGAAUGUUGUCGACGACGAAGACUGCGACAAAUUCGAAGACCUGCCCCCUUUUGGAGAGAAUGUCGAACAAAGCACAUUAAUGCAUUUAUUUUGUCAAACAAAGCACAUUAUAAGAAUUAAUUUGCUGGAAAAUCAAGUAUCAGUGCCGAUUAUAUGUACAACCUGAAGUAUCAGUGCCGGUUGUACAUACAACCGGCAUUGAUACGUCUCCUAUAUUUAUCUCCAACACUUAGCCGCAUCCUUGUUCCUCUAUUCACCCUAGCGCUACCUUCCUCGUUUGCUUCAGUCACCCGAGCCUCGACGCGCCGUCGCCUCCUCCCGACGCCACCCCGACGCGCCGCCGCCUCCUCCCGACGCCGAUUUGUCCCCGAGCCCUCGCCGUCGUCACCCCCCACGGAGGAGGAGCCGCCGCCGCCCUUGACGCCGACGCCGAGGACCACCUCUCCUGCUCUGCUCUCCUCCAUCCCCUUCAAGCCCAACGGGUAAGCACCAUCCCGUCCUCCCCAAUGAAAUUUGUGAUAAGGAUGGAAGAAUUUGGGAGAAAUAGAGGAACUACGAACUAGGGUUCUAUAGCUUAGUGCUAUGAAAAUUCAAGUGACUGGAUUACCUAAAUACAUGUGAAAAAUGUGAAGUUCAAAUAUACAUAUAUGCGAGACUAUUUUUGUUUUGUGAAAUGUGAGCUGUUUGGAGAUAUUGAGCCCCUUUGGUUUGAAAACUGUUGAGCUCCAGAGAGUAUCAAUUUAAGUUGAUAGUGCCAUUGUUGUUGAUCCAUUAGGGAGGUUGAGUGUUCAUCCAAUUUUUGUCCAUGGCCAUCCUGUCUAAUUGUAUUCUGUCAUGGAAGGAUGAAUUGUUUAGUAAAAUACAGUUCGACGAUAGGUUCUUGAAGAAGAAAUAAAACUGGUAGAUAACUAUGCUUUCAUUGCAGUCGUGCAAUUUUGCAACAAUUUGUGUGUUUAUGGUCUGACAUCAAACUUCUGCAUUUAUCUGGGUUUACGGUGUGCAAAUUGGCAAAUGUCCUAAAAAAGAAAGUACCUGAAUUUGUGUUGCAGCAGGAACUUGCAUAUAUGUAUCAAUUUAAGUUGAUAGUGCCAUUUUUGUUGAUCCAUUAGGGAGGUUGAGUGUAGAUGUUAUGUGCUGCAAUGAUCUGUAAUCCUUCGGUACAUGUAUAAUUAUACAAACAUUUAUAUUGUAAUUCAUGAUUCGAAGUUAACUAGUGCAAGCUCUGUUGGCAAAUAUGAUUCUUUUAUGAAGGCUACGGUGUUGGAAUUCGCUCAUGUUUCCUUUGUCAUGAUUACCUUGUAGUCUAGUUUUGGUAUGAGAUCCAACUCCUCCACGGUCGGCGCCAGUGCCACCGUCACCAGGAAGAGAUCCAACUCCUCCACUGUCGCCGCCACUGCCACCGUCACCGAGAAGAGAGCCGACUCCUCCCCCACGCAAGUCACCAACAAGAGAGUCAACUCCUCCCCCUCCAAAGUCCGCAACAGUGCCACCAAGGGAGCCAACACCUCCCCCUCCAAAGUCCGCAACAGUGCCACCAAGGGAACCAACACCUCCCCCUCCGAAGUCAGCACCAGUGCCUCCAAGUGAGCCGACUUCUCCUCCUCCGAAGUCAGCAACACUGCCACCAAAAUUGCCAACUCCUCUGAAGUUGACAACACGUUCUCAGUCUAAGAAGGUGGCAGCACCUGAGAAGUUGCCUUAUGAAAGAACUGCAGAGGAAAACAGAGCGAUAGUGAACGCCGAAGUCAAGAAUUUUUUUAAAAAGCGAGAGCCUGAGAAGAAUAAACCACUCACUGAAGAAACGAAAAAGUUUCUCUUGACGCUGAGCAAACCUGCUGUGGUUAAGCGUCAAUCAGACUACGAGCGUAUCAAAGGAAAGAAAUCCUUGAGGCAGGCUUCUAUUGAUCAGGUACGGGAAGAACAACAACUAGAAAGAUUCCUUAAGGAUGCCAAUAUGACAAAAGAGUAAUUUUUUAACGAGUUCGUGGCACCCAAAGCAGUCAAGAGAUGGCAAUUUAAGCUGGGCGAACUAUUGGUCGCGCCGGACGAGUGGGCCAAACUGACAUAUCAACUUUGAAAAUUUCAUGUGUGGUACAUGAAUGAGUCGAAGGAGGGUAGGGAAAGUUUCGAGGCCAGAUUCAAGGAACAAGAUCUCCUCCACGGGGACGGCAGUAUUUUUAUAUUCUUCGAGAAAAUUUAUCGACUGUACCAGUAUGAUGUCCUCGACGUGUCUAUCUUGAGUUGUUGGACUCUAAUGGAGGUACAAAGAUGCAGAAAGGAGUGCAUCAUGCAUGUGGGAUUUAUCGACCCAUAUCUUGUUAACCCGACAAUGAUGAAAUCUACCGACCUAAAGAAAACCGAGGACUAUGUAUUGAAGUGUCUUCUGGAGCUACAAUUGAAGAAAUACAUACUUUUACCCUACCACUAGGGGUAUGUGUUUCUACUCUUUUUAGCAAUACAUCGUUAGAAAUUAGGACCAACUAACCUAUAGUGACCUAUGUACAGUUUUCACUGGAUCCUUCUUGUCAUCCAGUCAGAUAUUAGUAAGAUCUUUAUUUUUGACUCACAAGAUAAUCCGAAAGAAACCUACCAACCCGUCAUUGACUUGCUACAAAGGUAAAAACCGACCAUUUCGUUACUGCUAUUGUAAUAUUUGAUUUGAUUGAAUCUAAGUCUACUUACAGUAAUAAUCACACACAUACAGAGUGUACCCACGAUACACCAAGAAGAGCGUUAGAUACAGGCCAUACACGAAAGAAUGGACAGUCCGACAUGGCUUUCCUUGUAGGAAGUAGGGUCCGGGCAAUAAUUUAUGUGGUUUUUAUGUAAUGGAAUUUAUGCAUAGCUUCAACACAGAGGAUUCGAUCCUGCCGAAAGAUCCUGAGGUAGACGGUAUACACAUUGAUGACUAAUUUUCAGGUUCAAUACGUCAAAAUCAUAUGUAUUGAUUUAUUCAAUUCUUCAAAUUGCAGAUCCUCGAGCUGUCCAAAGAACGUCUCAUGUCUCAUGAAAUCAACGCGCUUCAAGAACAACUUGUCGGGUUUAUCAAUGAUGAAAUCAUCAAUCCAACCGGCGAGUUCCAUGAAAUUGGAUUGUCUUUCUCGUUACCUUCAACCCAUAAAAAGGGCAGAGUUCAGAUCCAUCGGUUCACAAGAAAUCUUAAACUCCAUAAGAUUAUUGUAAUGAAACUUGAUAAGUAUGCGGUGUAUAUAUAUUGUGAUGAGACUUAAUUUUUUAUAAAUAAAAUUUA